UACGUAGGGUGCAAGCGUUGUCCGGAAUUAUUGGGCGUAAAGAGCUCGUAGGCGGUUUGUUGCGUCGGCUGUGAAAUCCCGAGGCUCAACCUCGGGUCUGCAGUCGAUACGAGCAAACUAGAGUGUUGCAGGGGAGACUGGAAUUCCUGGUGUAGCGGUGAAAUGCGCAGAUAUCAGGAGGAACACCGGUGGCGAAGGCGGGUCUCUGGGCCGAUACUGACGCUGGAGGCAACGAAAGCGUGGGGAUCAAACAGG
rnacentral:rRNA from 1 species